rnacentral:tRNA from 1 species
AUUAUUUUGGCAGAUUAGUGCGUUAAAUUUAGAAUUUAAAUAUAUAAUUAUUAACUUAUAAAUAAUA